CAGCCGCCGCGGUAAUACCAGCACCCCGAGUGGUCGGGACGAUCAUUGGGCCUGAAGCAUCCGUAGCCGGUACUGCAAGCCUUCCGUUAAAUCCACCUGCUUAACAGUUGGGCUGCGGGGGAUACUACAGCGCUAGGAGGCGGGAGAGGCAAGCGGUACUCAAUGGGUAGGGGUAAAAUCCGCUGAUCCAUUGAAGACCACCAGUGGCGAAGGCGGCUUGCCAGAACGCGCUCGACGGUGAGGGAUGAAAGCUGGGGGAGCAAACCGGAUUAGAUACCCGGGUAGUCCCAGCUGUAAACGAUGCAGACUCGGUGAUGGGCUGGCCUUGUGCCAACCCAGUGCCGCAGGGAAGCCGUUAAGUCUGCCGCCUGGGGAGUACGGUCGCAAGACUGAAACUUAAAGGAAUUUGCGGGGGAGUAC
rnacentral:rRNA from 2 species